rnacentral:rRNA from 1 species
AGAGUUUGAUCCUGGCUCAGAUUGAACGCUGGCGGCAUGCCUUACACAUGCAAGUCGAGCGGCAGCGCGGGGCAACCUGGCGGCGAGCGGCGAACGGGUGAGUAAUGCAUCGGAACAUGUCUUGUCGUGGGGGAUARCCCSGSSRAARSCSGRAUUAAUACCGCAUACGCCCGAGAGGGGAAAGCGGGGGACCGCAAGGCCUCGCGCGAUUGGGUUGGCCGAUGUCCGAUUAGCUUGUUGGUGAGGUAAAGGCUUACCAAGGCGAUGAUCGGUAGCUGGUCUGARAGGAUGAUCAGCCACACUGGGACUGAGACACGGCCCAGACUCCUACGGGAGGCAGCAGUGGGGAAUUUUGGACAAUGGGGGAAACCCUGAUCCAGCCAUUCCGCGUGAGUGAAGAAGGCCUUCGGGUUGUAAAGCUCUUUUGUCCGGAGCGAAACGGGCGCGGUGAAUAUCCGCGUCUACUGACGGUACCGGAAGAAUAAGCACCGGCUAACUACGUGCCARCWKCCGCGGUAAUUCA